AGAGCCCAAAAAGCCAAGGAGAGAGCUGCAACAGAAGUCACUGAUGAUAAGGGGCCAAAGACUCUAAGGGAACCUUCAGCAACAAUUGUCACACCUGCACCUACGUCACCUCCCCCUGCUACUCCCACACAGGCAGAAUAGUCCUAACCUUCUUGGUGGUGAUGAAGAGUUGCUGGUUACUCCCACACAGGCAGAAACAGUCCUAGCCUUCUUGGUGGUGAUGAAGGGUUGCUGGUUACUCCCACACAGGCAGAAUAUUCCUAGCCUUCUUGGUGGU
rnacentral:lncRNA from 1 species